UACGGAGGGGGCUAGCGUUGUUCGGAAUUACUGGGCGUAAAGGGCGUGUAGGCGGCCUUGUAAGUCGGGGGUGAAAUCCACUGGCUCAACCAGUGACGUGCCUUCGAAACUGCUUGGCUUGAGUAUGGCAGAGGAGAGCGGAAUUCCAGGUGUAGCGGUGAAAUGCGUAGAUAUCUGGAAGAACACCGGUGGCGUAGGCGGCUCUCUGGGCCAAUACUGACGCUGAGGCGCGAAAGCCAGGGGAGCAAACGGG
rnacentral:rRNA from 1 species